CGCUUUAUGUGCUUCACUUUCAUUUUCCCGCUUAAAAUUCAGUUGCCAUGGCAAUUAUCGUCUGCUUGCAGCACGUGCAGAUCUAUUGUUGUCGGUCAUUCGCGGUCUGCUUGUCGUCGUGUGCGUGUGUCUCGUAAUUUAAGUUUUGAUUUUGGUGGUAAAUCCCUCUUUCGAUUUAAGCAUGAUGUCCGUCAAAGGUAUUGCAGCUGCACUGCUCGUGCUUGCAUUGGUUUCGUACCAGGUGUACGCUCAAGAAGCGGCGGAGACUACCCCUGCCGCUGAUGGUGCAGCUGCUGCUGGUGGAGACGCGGCCACUGCGACUGAGGCCGCCGCCGGCGGUGACGCUGGUGGUGACGCUGGCGGUGAUGCUGGUGGUGACGAUGCUGGGGCGGCUGGAACGACAGCAGCUGCAGCAGAUGGAGAAGGGGGCACUGAAGCCCCGGCCGCUGCCGAAGGAGACGUUACAACUGCUGCAAGCGGUGCCGGCGAAUUGCAAGCCUUGACCAAGUUUGUAGCUGUCAUGGUGGCUGUGUCUCUGGGCCUUCUGGCAAAGAAUGAUUAGCUGGUGGUAACUACGAGAACACCACGAAAAUGCAGUUUUGCACAACUCGGGUAUCCGGGAAAUCUGGAAGUGGCCAUAGGGCGAGGUUAACCAAAGGCAUCGCUUCGAGCGAUUCGCUGAAGGUGAUCGAACGGCGAGAUGCAACAUUAGAGUCGACCACGCAUAGGUCGUCUGGAGGGUGGCAUGAAUUAUGUAGUAAUGACAGCUUGCUUCGAUGGACGCACAGACGUGCGGAUUUUGAGUGGUACCUACUUCGAUUAGUUUAGCACAUGACAACAAUAAAGCAAUGUGAUUAGA